rnacentral:rRNA from 1 species
AUGAACGCUGGCGGCGUGCCUAAUACAUGCAAGUCGAACGCUUUGUGGUUCAACUGAUUUGAAGAGCUUGCUCAGAUAUGACGAUGGACAUUGCAAAGAGUGGCGAACGGGUGAGUAACACGUGGGAAACCUACCUCUUAGCAGGGGAUAACAUUUGGAAACAGAUGCUAAUACCGUAUAACAAUGACAACCGCAUGGUUGUUAUUUCAAAGAUGGUUCUGCUAUCACUAAGAGAUGGUCCCGCGGUGCAUUAGCUAGUUGAUAAGGUAAUGGCUUACCAAGGCGAUGAUGCAUAGCCGAGUUGAGAGACUGAUCGGCCACAAUGGGACUGAGACACGGCCCAUACUCCUACGGGAGGCAGCAGUAGGGAAUCUUCCACAAUGGGCGAAAGCCUGAUGGAGCAACGCCGCGUGUGUGAUGAAGGGUUUCGGCUCGUAAAACACUGUUGUAAGAGAAGAAUGACAUUGAGAGUAACUGUUCAAUGUGUGACGGUAUCUUACCAGAAAGGAACGGCUAAAUACGUGCCAGCAGCCGCGGUAAUACGUAUGUUCCAAGCGUUAUCCGGAUUUAUUGGGCGUAAAGCGAGCGCAGACGGUUAUUUAAGUCUGAAGUGAAAGCCCUCAGCUCAACUGAGGAAUUGCUUUGGAAACUGGAUGACUUGAGUGCAGUAGAGGAAAGUGGAACUCCAUGUGUAGCGGUGAAAUGCGUAGAUAUAUGGAAGAACACCAGUGGCGAAGGCGGCUUUCUGGUCUGUUACUGACGCUGAGGCUCGAAAGCAUGGGUAGCGAACAGGAUUAGAUACCCUGGUAGUCCAUGCCGUAAACGAUGAAUACUAGGUGUUGGAGGGUUUCCGCCCUUCAGUGCCGCAGCUAACGCAUUAAGUAUUCCGCCUGGGGAGUACGACCGCAAGGUUGAAACUCAAAGGAAUUGACGGGGGCCCGCACAAGUGGUGGAGCAUGUGGUUUAAUUCGAUGCUACGCGAAGAACCUUACCAGCUCUUGACAUCUUCUGCCAACCCAAGAGAUUGGGCGUUCCCUUCGGGGACAGAAUGACAGGUGGUGCAUGGUUGUCGUCAGCUCGUGUCGUGAGAUGUUGGGUUAAGUCCCGCAACGAGCGCAACCCUUAUUAUUAGUUGCCAGCAUUUAGUUGGGCACUCUAGUGAGACUGCCGGUGAUAAACCGGAGGAAGGUGGGGACGACGUCAAAUCAUCAUGCCCCUUAUGAGCUGGGCUACACACGUGCUACAAUGGAUGGUACAACGAGUCGCGAAACCGCGAGGUCAAGCUAAUCUCUUAAAGCCAUUCUCAGUUCGGAUUGCAGGCUGCAACUCGCCUGCAUGAAGUUGGAAUCACUAGUAAUCGUGGAUCAGCAUGCCACGGUGAAUACGUUCCCGGGUCUUGUACACACCGCC